UGAGGAAUAUUGGACAAUGGGCGCAAGCCUGAUCCAGCCAUGCCGCGUGCAGGAUGACGGUCCUAUGGAUUGUAAACUGCUUUUGUACAGGAAGAAACAGUUCUACGUGUAGAACCUUGACGGUACUGUAAGAAUAAGGAUCGGCUAACUCCGUGCCAGCAGCCGCGGUAAUACGGAGGAUCCAAGCGUUAUCCGGAAUCAUUGGGUUUAAAGGGUCCGUAGGCGGUUAGAUAAGUCAGUGGUGAAAGCCCAUCGCUCAACGGUGGAACGGCCAUUGAUACUGUCUGACUUGAAUUAUUAGGAAGUAACUAGAAUAUGUAGUGUAGCGGUGAAAUGCUUAGAGAUUACAUGGAAUACCAAUUGCGAAGGCAGGUUACUACUAAUGGAUUGACGCUGAUGGACGAAAGCGUGGGGAGCAAACAGGAUUAGAUACCCAUGUAGUCCCUGAGCGGGCUGGCAAGGCGCAU
rnacentral:rRNA from 1 species